rnacentral:rRNA from 1 species
AUCAGCAGCCGUGCCACCUGCAGGUCAGAGUAGGUAAUGCAUCUGAAGCUAAGUACUGGCCAGUACUUGGAUGGGAGACAAACUAGGAAAGUGAGUUGCUGCUGGAG